CAUUAACAAAACUCAAUUAUAGGUUAGGUUGCAGUUUUAACGGUUACUAUAGCGGCAAUGAUGUCAGAUGUUAAAAAAAUUCUUGUGAUGUCAAUCGAUAUUGUAGGGGCCCUAAAUUUAAUUGUUUUAUGAAGAAUGUGCCAAUAACUCUCGGGGUGCCAACAACUGUAGGUUUUCCUGAUAACCCUCAAACCAACUUUCAUUAUUAUUGGCGAAAAAACCCAGCUUAAACUUUAACAAAUUGUUUUGCGCCAUAGUGAGCCCUUCAGUUGAAAGUAACUAAACUUUCCCUUAAUGGACUCGAAGACAGUGACCUGAACAAGUUCAGUGUUAGCUUGGAGUUUUCAAAUUGAUGCGAUCGAGUAACGAGGAGUGACAAGAAAAUUACGGAUCGUAUUUCCAGGCUAAGCCAGUUAGAGGUUCGAUUGGAGAAAGUGAACAGUUCUGGUGGCUUUUAGGGCCCAACGUUAGUCACAGUUGCCUGAGAGAACGCUUAGAUGUCUAUCUAUAUAAAGCGAAAAAUUUCAGUCAUGCUUAUUCAAUUCGCUGCUCAUGCAUGCCAACUUAGAGAUAACCGGAUGGCAGCGUGGCUCUAAAUAAAGCAGGAAAAUGUAUCUCGCCAAGAUAAACUCCCAGACGUGCACUAGAUUUCUGCUUCAAGAAAAAAGCGGUCAUAUAUUUACAAAUUUAUUCAAAUUUCCUGUUUGAGCUUGAGCAGGACGAGUCGCAUUUUAUAGUGUUUUUAGUAGUUGCUGCAAAUUUACGAUGCGAUCAUAAAUUCCAGUGCGAAUUGUACGGGCGGGCCCCGAGCGUCUUGUCUAUUGCAACGUUUUAUUUUCUGGAAAAGUGAAAGAACUGAUGAAAAUGUCCUGUUUGAUGUUUUUUUUAGCGUCAGAAGGUUUACGCUAGGCAAAGAAUGUUGCAAUAAACUCUUGAAAAGGAACCAUUCAGGUCCAUUUUAACCACACAUGUAAUGGCGCAAAUUUUUUAAAAUAAACUGCACGGCGGAAGCAAAGCAUGCAAGAACAAGCCGAUUAAA